UGACCAGACUCCUACGGGAGGCAGCAGUCGGGAAUAUUGCGCAAUGGAGGAAACUCUGACGCAGUGACGCCGCGUAUAGGAAGAAGGUUUUCGGAUUGUAAACUAUUGUCAUUAGGGAAGAUAAAAGACUGUACCUAAGGAGGAAGCCCCGGCUAACUAUGUGCCAGCAGCCGCGGUAAUACAUAGGGGGCAAGCGUUAUCCGGAAUUAUUGGGUGUAAAGGGUGCGUAGACGGAAGAACAAGUUGGUUGUGAAAUCCCUCGGCUCAACUGAGGAACUGCAACCAAAACUAUUCUCCUUGAGUGUCGGAGAGGAAAGUGGAAUUCCUAGUGUAGCGGUGAAAUGCGUAGAUAUCAGGAGGAACACCGGUGGCGAAGGCGGCCUGCUGGACUGCAACUGACGUUGAGGCCCGAAAGCGUGGGGAGCAAACAGGAUUAGAUACCCCAGUAGA
rnacentral:rRNA from 1 species